AAGGAUCAUUACCCGAGCGUGACCCCCGUAAAUUUAAAGGGGGGUGCCUCCCGUCCUUUGCGGGCCCCUUGGGGCUUUCAGACUUUGCUUCGGCGGGGCUGCCCCGCCGGAACACCCUCAAGAAAAUCUUACAAAACCGUUCAGUCCGAGGUUGCGAUAAUAAGAAAAACUUUCAACAACGGAUCUCUUGGUUCUGGCAUCGAUGAAGAACGCAGCGAAAUGCGAUAAGUAAUGCGAAUUGCAGAAUUCCAGUGAGUCAUCGAAUCUUUGAACGCACAUUGCGCCCUUCGGUAUUCCGAAGGGCAUGCCUGUUCGAGCGUCAUUAUCACCCCUCAAGCCCCCGGCUUGGUGUUGGACGGUUUAGCCUUGGGUGACGAGGCCCGUUUUAAAAUCAAUGACGGCGGCCUGUUCGACCCCCGGUACACUGAGCUUCUAAACUGAGCACGUAUCGGUUGAAGGGUAGGCAGGACCCGGUCUUCUUCCUUAACUGGAAACUCUUUUCAAGG
rnacentral:misc_RNA from 1 species